UACGUAGGGUGCAAGCGUUAAUCGGAAUAACUGGGCGUAAAGGGUGCGCAGGCGGAUGACUAAGUCAGCGGUGAAAUCCCCGGGCUCAACCUGGGAAUGGCCGUUGAGACUGGUUGUCUAGAGUGUAUCAGAGGGGGGUCGAAUUCCACGUGUAGCAGUGAAAUGCGUAGAGAUGUGGAGGAACACCGAUGGCGAAGGCAGCCCCCUGGGAAAACACUGACGCUCAGGCACGAAAGCGUGGGGAGCAAACAGG
rnacentral:rRNA from 1 species